AGAAAGCUGUCAAGACCAUCCAGACCUGAAAAUACCUGAUAGGGGGAUGGGAAACAAAAACAUGACUUCUCACAGUAGAUCCUUAAUUGGUGAUCGAAAAUUGGUUUAAAAGUGUCCUAACUAAUCUUUUUUGAAGGGAAAGUCAGAAAUACAUUCAAACUCACAGUGUGUACCUCUGAGAGACAGUGGCUCAUUCAAGUAUCACUUAUCCAUUUGGGUCUUCAUUCAUUCACUCAUUCCCCAAAUCCUAACUGAGUACGUACUAUAAAACAGACACUUGCCAGGUAUUGGGGGAUGGAGGGUCUGAGUAGGGGUAAAGAUUAAUUAGGUAAUAAAAUCCAGAUUUCUUUUAAAAACAAUCAGAAAAUCUCACAAGGCUGGACCCACAUUCUCACACAAUAAUGAUUGCUGGCGCUGAGUCACUGGGGACCUACUAGGUGAAGCAGGAAUCCCUGAGUGCCUACAGCUCCCAUCCCCAAAGCUACAUCAUUACAGCAUUCCUUCAUGUUACCUACCUGUCAUUACCUAUGGACGUCUGAAUUCAUGAAUCUGAGCUCACGAAUUCUCAUUGAGAGAACCUUUCCAAUGAAAUACCCAUCGGAUGCCCUUUGCUGAGAGCCCGGAGUAGAACCAGUGCUAAAUUUCUAAGAGAGAGACAAAUACCUAAAUAACUCUAUUGCAAAAUAAAAGGUAUUAUCAGAAAGGGAAGGAUGAAAUGCUUUGAACAUUUAGGGGACAGGGAAAUUGUUUCUGGAGACUGGUACACAUCAGAAAUGGCUUCCUGGCAGAUGUAGCACCGAAUCUGGGACUUGAAUGAUUACAUUUUUUCCAUCAAUUCAACAAAUAUUUGCUAGAAGCCAGCUAGCCAGAAUGCUUUAUAGAAGAUGCACUCAGAAUUGGCUAGUUAUGAGGGAGCUGUUUGUCAACUGCUAAUUUUCUGUGGUUUGCUCUUCUUCCCUUUCCUUUUACAUUCACAAAUUGGGAAAGUUAAACUUGUAGAUCACUUUGGGGAUUGUCAAAGGGUGGCUUCUGGUAGAUACUGGUUUCUCCAAGCCAGGCAAACCUGCAUUCACUCAGCAUAUAUUUUCAAGUCUGGACUAUGUACCGUCCACUAUGACAGGAGUCAGAAAUACAGUGAUGAGUGCUGGCCCUGUCCCAUGUAAUUUACAGCCUUUUUGGAGAGAGAGGCAGUUUCAGUGACCUCACAAAUACAUGCAGGAGUGUAACUGUGAUGAGUACUGCAAAGGGAAGAGGGCCCUUGUUGCUAAAGGACUUAUAAGAGGAGUUGGCCAUGUCAGAAGGAUCAGGGAAGGCCUUACUGAGGCAUGAGGCUUCCUGGUGUGAAUAGCAGUUAACAGGUGGAGGGAGACCAGGUUCCAGGUGGAGGAAAUAACAUGUGUGUGGGCUCCUUUCCAGAAGAGCUGGAGAGAAGAGAGAUGAAAGGAAGGUGAUGCAGGAUGAAGCUGGAGGAGUAAGAAGGGGUUUGAUGAUAUAGCAGGCCCAGUCAAAGAAUCUUGUCUUUAUCCUAAGAGUCAAGAGAAGUUGCUGAGAAUUUUUAAGCAGGAAAGGGUGAUGAUCAUAUUUAUAUUUUGGAAAGAUCCUCCAACCUGCUCUCUGUGUUAAAACAGUUGAGUUCAUAUAUCUUCUGGCUGCAAUAAUGGGAAUGAACACAAGGCAGGACAGAGUACAUGGGGGGAGGCCGGUUAGCAAGCUAGUGUUGAGUUCAGAAGGAAGAUGAUGUUCUUUUGACUAGGAUGCUGGUGAUGGAGGGCAAUGAAAAAAUCUGAGAGAUAAAUAGGAGCUAAAUCAACAAUAUAAUGGGCUGAACAUGGAGGAGAAAAAAAGAAAAGAGUCAAACAUAUCUUCUAGGUUCCUCUCUGCCAUGCAUAAUUGGAUGGAUGGAAUACCAUUCACUAAAAUGAAUCACCACUUGGCUUUGUUCUAAGACUGCUGUGUACAGUUGUGUGAGUUGUGUACUACACCAGGGCAUCUGGCUAAUUAACAAAGGCAGAAGCUGAAAGUCAGCCCAUUCUCUGCUUGCCAAGACACAUAUCCCCAUGUAGGGUCAUGUCUACCCAGGUGGGAGGGGCAGCUUCUUAUAAUUUGCAAAAAAUAGCUAUCCAUUUGGCUAGAUAAAAAGUUAUACCUUUUAACCAGCAUUGCAGGCAUCCAAGAAGGCCCACAUAGGGUACUACGAGUGGGAGGGAGCACUAAAGGUGGUAAAGCCAGGGCCAGGAUACCUGGAUGGUAGAGACAAGGGCUGAAGAAGGUGAUGAGAAAAUGAGAGAGUGCAAAAAAUAUCAAGCUCAGUUUAUUUAUCCUGCAGUGGCUAUCUCUGGCAUUUCCUGGACUCCUGACCCACAGGGAGGGAUCCUGCCUGUGGCUCACCCUUCCUGUUAUUUUAAUUCUUUUGUUGGAUGCCUUUAAUGAAUGUAGACAUGGACACUCAUACAUCAGAGAGCAGAAGUACUUUAAGAACCAUCUAGCCCUACUCUUUCAUUACACGGAUGAGAACGCUGAGGUCCAGGGAAAUGGAAAGCUUUGCUCUGUCUCCUGCUGGGACAAGAUCCUUAAUCGCCUGAUUCCUCACAUCAUGCUGAUCUUUCCUCUAACAAGAAAUUGACUGAGCUUUCACAGACAACGAGGCAACACCUGAAAGAGCAAAGAUACCAAGUCAGAUUCAUCUGAGUUUGGAUCUCUGCUUGCCAUUCUUUGUUGUGUGAUUUUUGACAAGUUACUUAAUCUCUCCAAGCUUCACUUUCCCCACCUGUAAAAUGAAGAUUAAAAACACCUUGAAGGUGGGCUGUGAGGAUUAACGUAAAGCCUUUGGGAUAGGGUCUGAUAUUCACGAGCCACCAUCUAGACCACAUUCUCUACUUAUGUUGACUUCUCCAGCCCCUGUCUCUUCCCUACCCUUUCUCUAUUCUCAAAGGGUUUGCAGGGAUUCUGCAGAAAAUUUAUUCUUUGGAAAUUCUUUGUGGAACUCAACACAAAUUCAGCAUAUCAAAUAAACGAAAUAUUAAGAAAUGACUCUACCUUUUCCCCUAACCUUUCACUUAGGGUUCUGAUCCCUAAGAUGCAAAUGGCAAUUAACCCUGCACCCCACACUAGCCCUCUACCUCUCCCUAUGAUGACUCUGCACAGAUCUCAGGAAGCUUUAUGUGAAAAUAACACCUUGGAACUAGAAGCAGAAGGAACUAGAGAGGUUUCUGCUGGAAGCAUAAUAUAAAAGCCAGUUUUGAAGAAGGCGGGGGGUGGUGGGGGCUCAGAAAAAUGAGCGAUUACCAGAAGGAACUUUUUUUCUCCCAACAUGAUUUUUGAUGGCUCAUAGUUACUUUCAUUUGUUCCGUGACUUUGAGAGGCUGACAAAUAGCAGCCUCAUUCUGAAUGCCUAUUGUUACUCCUGAGGUUUUAUGUAGAGUAGAAAAGAUUGUUUUGAACGUUUCUCAUGGACAAGUGGAAGCUGUACUCUUGCUACAAAUGAUUCAUGUGGGAGAAAUGAUAUAUAAACAAGAUUGCCUGCUUGGAGAGUGGAUGAGAGGGUGAGUUAUUUCAGAAGGGCUCUUCACUUUCAUGCCAGCAAAUGAUAAAAGCUAGCUCUCAGAAUGGCAGGGGUGCUAUGGAAUGGAGGCUUCAGAAACUUUUUGACUCUUACAUUUUAUAGUCAAUGUCAAAAAAAUGUAUUAUAAAUUUCUGACUAAGUCCAGUUACUUUUUCAUGGUGAUGUAGCAAUAGGUUGAUUCAACCUUGGGCCUUGUCCUGUCAGUGUGUUGAGGCUGAAAGAGCCUGGGUUCUGGAAGCUGAGCCUCUGGGGUAAGGUAGGUGCCUAAGGGGCAAAAUUUCAGGAGGCACCUACUCUCAGGGUCAUACAGGCACAGAGUCAGCACUUGCACAAUCCUGUAAGUGAGUGCCUCCUUAAAUUUUGCCCUCUGGGUCACCCUCUUUUCUCACCCAAAUCCGGGCCCUGGAAUUGAAUUAGAAUCAAGACUCCAUCACUUAUUGGUGGUGCAACUUUAGGGAAUCAGUUAGGAUUAGUCUUGGCUAUAACAGAAAAAAGCCAAGUGAGAGUGGCUUAUUUCUCUAUUACAUAAAAAUCUAGAGCAAUACAGGACAGGGCUGGCAUAAUGUCCCCAUUGCAUAAAGUCAUCAGAUCCUAGUUCCUUCCAGUGCACUUUUCUGCCAUUCCAAGGGUUUUGCCUUCAUGAUUCAAAAUGACACAUCCACAUUCUAGGCAGCAGGAUGGAGGAAGGUGACUAAACCAUGUGACUAUAUUACUGAUUUUUAAAAUAUAACAAAAUUAUAAUUAUAAACAUGUAGAAUAGAUUGUAAAAGCCCAAACAAUACAAAAAUAAAAUAUAUUUUUGGAUUGUUAAAUCACCUAUAAUUGUUAUUUCUAUCAGCCCCACUCCAAAUUCCCAGCCUAAGCAUCUAGUUUAUUGCAACUAUUAAGGACUGAGCCAGUCUUGAUUCCCACAAUUGAAAAUGUUUUCAGAAGGAAUUAUUCUUAUGGAAGCUCAUAAAAUGUUCUUAAACCCAUAGGUUUGAAAAUAAGAAAAUUAUCUAGAGUGGAGUGGUAGACAGCUGAGUUAUCUGCCUGCCCAGCACUCACUUCCCAUUCUGGCAGGCAUACUUCAAUUUUGGUUUGGGGAACAAACUACCAGGUUCCUUUGCUUACAGACUUGGUAGAAAUUGUCAUUUGGGCUACAGAUGGGAAGACGUAGAAAUGUAACUCAAACUAGGACCAUAAUAUCCCUCUCUCUUCGAAUAAUUUGUCUCUUGGAUAUGGUUAAAAAGCAUAGACAUAUGACUGGGGAUCAUUUUCUCUAACAGAGACAUGGAACUCAAACAAAUUCCCUGAGCUGCUUUGGAUCCUGUUCUUUCUGAGGCCUGAUACUUCAGCGUCUUCAAAUCUAAUUUGCAAUGCCCCAUAUCCUUCCAGUACACCUCUUCUAUUUAAGUUACCUAGAGUCCAUUUAUGUUGCUUGCAAUCAAGAACCCUAACUGACAAAAGAAGCUAUUCACUUUUCUACCCAAAUAUUUGAAAUUAUACAGGUUGGUCUCUCCUACCUUGUUAAUUAUACCUGUUUUCUUCUCCAGCUUUUCCCAGGUGAGGCCAUUAAUGCCUCCACCCAUAGGCUUAACCCUGCCCUGUUUCUGAGCCAACUCUAAAGUGAGGAAUAGGACUAAAGAGGUGGUGGGUGAGUUGCAUGCAGGAUACCAAAGGAUAAAUCCUGGGGGCUUCCAGAAGUUCCAGAGGAAUUACCUAGAAGGCAUCAUUCCAAGGAGGAAAGAGGCCAAAGCAUCACAUAGACUUCAUAAAACAAGGGACCUUGCCUAUCUUAUUCCCCACUGUAUCCCCAGUACAAAAAAUUAUGUCUGGCUCAUGGUAAGUACUCAGGAAGUAAGUAGUCAGGCUGAAUAAAAGAGGGAAAAAGCAAUGGCAGUAAGAAGGGCUGAGAUUUGUGGGGAUAGAAAUCAAGUGAAGAGGUGAGGUGACAUUGCAGAGAUGGAGUGAGGUCAGUGAGUAGAAAGGGGAAAGAUGCAAAGUUAAGAGUGCAAGAGAUGCUGACUUUUACAGGUGCCAACCGAGGCAGUCACUGGGACAAUUUCUGGUCUUUCACAAUAUUUUCUUGAAUUAUCUUCUCUGCCAAUGACAUCUCUCAAACAAAGUUAACCUCAGGAAAACCUAUAGCUGCCAUAUUCUGCCUCUUUGCCUGCCCUCCUUCCUUCUCCCUGCUGGCUUGGCCCAGCCCAGCAGAAUGACAUUUUGUGUUGGUCCUUCCUCUUGAGUGUUGACCAUUUCCCUGUCUUAAUCCCUAACCCAAGGCCUGGUGCUCUUAUAACCUGCUGUGCUCUUCCAUGUUCUCCCUACUAAGAUGAGAGACUCAUCAAUUUCCCUGACAGGUCCCUGAGAUGCCGUCACCAAAGUCUGGUUUCUUAAAUGAUGACCUGGUUAAUACAAACAAGAAUGAAAAAAGACCCCCACAACUAACAUAUAUCGGGCACUUACAAAGAUCAGGUCCUGAGCAGUGCUUUUAACUUUUGUACAGUACUCAUCACAAACCCAUGAAUUAAAUAUUAUUUUGGUAUGAACUGCUAGUUGCCUACCCAGUAUUCAUUCUCCCAUUCACAGAUGUUAAAGACUACAUUUCCCAGCUUUCCUUGCAACUAGGAGUAGCCAAAGAAUAUAAAUAGAAGUUGCUGGGUAAGCUUCAGACAAAGCUCUUUAAUGCUGAUAGGGUGCCUUUUAUUGCUGUGAAAUAUUGGCUGCAGUGUAGACAUGAUAGCUGGAGGGCACCUUGUAACCAUGAAGUAACUUUAGGAUGGAAGCCAUAUGCGAAGAAUGGUGGAACAGAAACAGAGAAGGAGCCUAUGACCCUGAUGGCUGUGGAGCUGCUACAGUGCCUUCCUCCAGACUUUUUAUAACAGGCAAAAUAAAUCUCUAACUCCUUAAAGCCAUUAAAAGAGUUAUUUAGCUGCUCUGUUUUAUGCAAUGAAAUCCAAUUCUGAUCGAGUUAAUUAUUGCCCUGUGGGGCAGGCAUAUUUAGUGUUCCCCAAAUAUCUACCACUCUUCCACAUUUCCCAGUCUUAAUUGCAGUUGAGUUGGGCCAUGUGUCUUAUUCUGACCAAUGAGCUCCAAGCAGAAAUUACAUACAUUGCUUGUGUGCUGAGGCACCUAGGAGCCAGUAUAACUUCUCCAGCUCUCUCUUUCUUGACACAGUAACAUUGGAAGCCAUAUGAUGAGAUAGUAGUGUCACGAGAUAGAAGAAAAUGGGAUCUCUAAGUCACUGGAUGUAGGAGGAUUCCCACUGACUUGACUUUGGUGAGUUCCCUGAGCCAAGCACUCCGCAGCUCCAUCGCAGCGUGGGCCUCUUGGAAAUUCGGUGCUAGUUCUCAAGGCCUCCUACCUGCUGAACCUUAGUCUUCAUUGCUGAAAUAAGAGCUGUCCUGCAAACAGAGUUUGGCGCUCGCUUUCUGGCCUCCGGCUGGUGGAGCAAGGACGUUUCCAGCACAUAAGAUUCCCCACUCUGUUAAAAAAAAAUGUGUUUAUACUUGGUCCCCUCUGAAGGCGGACGACACCCAUACUUUUGUCCCAGCCCAAUUUGCUGGCUGGGAUUUUUCUCAUCCUUUAAAUCCCGGGAAGCAAGGAACCUGCCCUCUGGCGCCAUCUACCGGCACUGUUUUUCGAGUCCAAGGAGCCCCCUGCGGAGUUGGGAUGUGUUUAGUAAUUGAUUGGAUGAAUCCUGCCACUUCGUUAGUAGAUUCUUAUUUUCUUCACGGACUCUUUACUAAUUAGUAAAGAGAUUAUAUAGCAAAUAUAUUAUCUUACUUUAAAGAGACCAGAGUCUCCUAUCUCUCGCUUCCCCCACCCCAUCAGUUGUGGCAUUCCUUCAUCUUUAAUUUCUUCCUUCGAAAAAUAUUUAUUUUGUUAUUGUAUAGAGAUCAGGGCAUGGGCCACACAGCUGCACACCUGAGCAAACAGAGGGGCUGACUGAUUUGCUGUUGUAAUGAAAAACAUUAGUUUUGGGUUCAUUACUGUGAUUCCACAAUGGGCACCAAAUCCCACUUAAGACCCACCGAAGAAGUCUUCAAAGGGACACGGUUUCAGGUCUGUGCCUGGUGAGCGUGCUGCCUCUUCGAAUCUUUGCACAGAAAUAACCUACGGUUGAAGACUCAGACCUGUCAGAUCAAAACCAACCCUGGCCUCCAGACCUUGAAACAAGUCAAAACAGUGAACCUUACUCAUCCGUUUUCAAAAUAUGGCCUGUUUUCUUUACAAAAUGCAGCAAAGCCUCUCAGAUGGGCGCUGGCUGCAAUAUUUGAUAUAUUAGGGAGAAUCCUGACUCCUUCCAGGUUUCUGCCCAUCUGUUUUAAAUCCAAAUGGCUUGGCAGAGGAUGGUUUUUAGUUAUGUAUUUUUUUCAUUUCAAAUGGAAUUUAAAACAGCAGGGGCAGAAAGCCCAGAUAUGGAUGAGAGAGAAAAUAAAAAGGCCCCUGUAAUUCCCCAUUCGCCUUCUACAUGAAGGAAAAAAUAUCGGCAUUUGUUGUAAACCUACUAUGUGUCAAGGUAUCACUAGGGAGUGUGAUGUUGCUGAGCCAUUGGAAUUUUAUAAAAUUUUAAAUGUUUUUCAUUUUCUUCUUCAGAGGUGGUUUGAUUUCAUGAUCAAGAGCUUGAACUUAAAGUCAAAUCCUUCUCCUGCCUCCUGCAGUCAUGGGGCCUUAGCUAUUCUCUGUAAUGACUCUAGGUCUCAGUUUCCUUGCCUGAGAACAGGCCUGUGAUAAUUACCUUGAUGGGCUAUUGUCAGUUUUAAAUAAGGUAGUGCAGAGGCAACUACCACAGGAAUGGUUCUGCCUUAAGAAUGAACUACGUGUGCAUGUGUCUUUAUAGCAGCAUGAUUUAUAGUCCUUUGGGUAUAUACCCAGUAAUGGGAUGGCU
rnacentral:lncRNA from 1 species